rnacentral:rRNA from 1 species
CAGCAGCCGCCGCGGGAAUACAGAGGGUGCGAGCGUUAAUCGGAUUUACUGGGCGUAAAGCGUGCGUAGGCGGCUUUUUAAGUCGGAUGUGAAAUCCCUGAGCUUAACUUAGGAAUUGCAUUCGAUACUGGGAAGCUAGAGUAUGGGAGAGGAUGGUAGAAUUCCAGGUGUAGCGGUGAAAUGCGUAGAGAUCUGGAGGAAUACCGAUGGCGAAGGCAGCCAUCUGGCCUAAUACUGACGCUGAGGUACGAAAGCAUGGGGAGCAAACAGGAUUAGAUACCCGGGUAGUCCUGUCUCUUAUACA